AGCGACGAAAGAGAGGGGCAGGGGGUCCGGAUUGAGUCACCUGGGGAGCAAGGUAUGAGUCUCGUUGUCUCCAUUGAAAUGAGGAUGUGUAUUAAGCCACAGAUCAGAGCGAGUGAAGUUAUAAAUAUCACUGCUGGAGGAGGAAAAAGGUCAGGAGAGGGUGGAGGCUCAGCACCGUGGAGCAAAGAGAAGCUGGCAUUUCCUUCGGUCUUUCUCUCCAGUACUAGGACCCAAAAUAGCUCAGGAUCCGUGCGCUCGACAGAAACUCUUUCUCCUCAAACCUCGUCUGCAACGCAAUACAGACAGUGGGAUCACGCUGUCCCCAGAGACUCGGUUCCAGAAAAGGGAGAAGCAAAAAGGCGAAGAGAAGCAGAAUACGGAGAUGCAAGUCGAAGAGGAAACCAAGAAUGAUGUGAUGUAAAUACAAGUGAGGGGAAAAACGGCAGAUUGAGAUGGACAGAAAUGAGAACCGACACAAGAGAGAGAACAUCUUCGGGCAACGGCUGAUUCCGUAGUGAUCCAAUGCGGAGACAGGAGCCGUCGGCGAUCAGAGUGUUUAAUUCUCUGUUAGAGAGCGGAAGCGCUGCUGAUUUGGGGAACAUGACAGUAUAAAAGCAUUAAUUCCACAGCGAGUAAGGUUUAGUGUUGCUUUUUGAUCAAUCCACAAUUAGCAAUAGUUUCAUUGCCUUGGACUGCGUGGAUCAUAAUAAAUUGUGGCACGUUCUUGGUGGUAUGGGGAAUCUUCCAAGUGUCUAGGACUGUGAGAUGUAUCGGCGAAUAAUGCCUGCAGAUCCCAGCAAGGUGGCCUUCUGCAGCUGGCAGGUGGGGAUUUUGUCAGCGCUGAUUGUGUUCAAGUGCAGGCCAAGGUCUUUAGGCCCUGCACCCAGUGUGCCCAUCACCACUGGGACCACCUUGACUGGCUUGUGCCAGAGUCUUUGCAGUUCGAUCUUUAAAUCCUCAUAUCGUGUCAACUUUUCCAGUUGUUUCUCUUCAAUCCUGCCGUCACCUGGGAUUGCAACAUCGACAAUCCAUACUUUUGUUUUUUAAUACGAUCAUUUAUUUAUUUUUUUAUUUAUUUGCAGUAUUUAUAUUCCGCCUUUCUUUCUCACCCCGAAGGGCACUCAGGGCGGAUUACAAUGAACACAUAUAUGGCAAACAUUCAAUGCCAACAGACAAACAACAUACAUUAGACAGACGCAGAGGCAUUUUUAACAUUUUUUCAGCUUCAUGAUUCCGGCCACAGGGGGAGCUGUUGCUUCACCGUCCAGUAGUGGCUGUACUUCCUCAUUCCUUUCCUCGUGUUUUGCUGGCAGUUUUAUGGUGUUGUAAAUUAGCCUCCCGCAUAAAGCGUCCCUAAAUUUCCCUAAUUGACAGGUGCAACUGUCUUUCGGGGCUGCAUACGUCAACAGCAAGCCAGGGCUACUAAUGGUCGGAGGCUUAACCCGACCCGGGCUUCGAACUCAUGACCUCUCGGUCAGUAGUGAUUUAUAGCAGCUGGUUACUAGCCAGCUGCGCCACAGCCCGUCCCCCGAUCAUGAGGUCAGGAGUCUUGUGCUCCAAAACCCUGUCUGUCUGAAAGUCCCAGAGUACCUUGACGUGUUAAUUCUCUGUCACUUUUUCCAGCUUGUGAUCCCACCAGUUCUUUGUCACAGGCGGAUGGUAUUUGUGGCACAAGUUCCAAUGAAUCAUCUGAGCAACGGUGUUAUGCCUCUGCUUGUAGUCUGUCUGUGCGAUUUUCUUGCAGCAGCUGAGGAUGGGAUCUAUUGUUUCAUCUGCUUCCUUGCAGAGUCUACAUUUGGGAUCUGUGGUCGACUUUAUUAUUAUUAUUUUAUUAUGACACAGCAAACAAGAUAGACAUGCUGGAUUUCGUAUCACAAAAUCACAAGUCGAACACUUCCCAAGUGUCUAGGACUGCGUGAUGUAUUUUCGGAUGAUGCGCGCAGAUCCCAGCAGGGUGGCCUUUUGCAGUUGGCAGAUUGUGAUUUUGUCAAUGUCUAUUGUUUGCAAAUGCCGGCUGCAAAUUAUUAUUAUUAUUAUUAUUAUUAUUAUUAUUAUUAUUAUUAUUUUAUUAUGACACAGCAAACAAGAUAGUCAUGCUGGAU
rnacentral:lncRNA from 1 species